CCAACCUUAGCUCAGUUGGAAGAGCAACUGACUGUAGAUGCAUUGUCAUCAGUGGGUCACCCGUUCAAAUCGGGUAGGUUGGA
rnacentral:tRNA from 1 species